rnacentral:rRNA from 1 species
UACGUAGGGGGCUAGCGUUGUCCGGAAUCAUUGGGCGUAAAGAGCGUGUAGGCGGUCCGGUAAGUCCGCUGUGAAAGUCGGGGGCUCAACCCUCGAAUGCCGGUGGAUACUGUCGGGCUAGAGUGCGGAAGAGGCGAGUGGAAUCCUGGUGUAGCGGUGAAAUGCGCAGAUAUCAGGAGGAACACCUAUUGCGAAGGCAGCUCGCUGGGACGUAACUGACGCUGAGACGCGAAAGCCGUGGGGAGCAAACAGG